GCAGGGACACUGUGAUCCUCCCGGAUAAGACAGAAUGAGCUCAGAAAGACCGAGACCUCUGGGGACUGGGAGGCUGGGAGGAAGCUUCCGGGCUCAGGACACCCGGUCCCCCUCCCCUAAGUCGGUCUCCCGGUCAGAGUGAAACAUUCUUGCUGUUUGUGAAUCACACCAGGAAACCGCCUCUGCAACAUUCCAGGAUGCGAGAGCCACGCCCUCGGUCUGACUGCUGAUUGGCGGUGGCGUGAGUCAGGGGAAAGGGCACCGGACGGGCAGUCUGGAGAUGCGGGACUCUGCGCCUUGAUCUACAGCAGAGCCAGAUCAGCCAAAGAGUCUCACUCUGACUGUUACUGAGACCAUACCAGAAGAAGAUGCUGGCAUGGGAAUCCCCUGGGAAAAAAGAACUUUCAUUGUCAAAGGAAAUGCAGCAAAGGGAGCUUCCUCCUCCCUGUAAGGAGAUGAUGCGUCUGGACUCCGAGGAAACUGUCAUUCAAACCAGAACUAAGAAGCAACUGUUCUGCCAUCUUCACACAUCAGGGACUUUUCCAAUGAGUCAGCUGUUUGCAUCAGGUGACCAAACUACUGGAGCUUCAGCAUCAGUCCUUCCAAUGAGUAUUCAGGAUUGAUUUCCUUG
ensembl:lncRNA